rnacentral:tRNA from 1 species
UGCGGGGUCGUCCAAUGGCAGGACGCGAGACUUUGGAUCUCGUUAUCCAGGUUCGAAUCCUGGCCCCGCAGCCA